AGAGUUUGAUCCUGGCUCAGGACGAACGUUGGCGGUGCGCUUAAUGCAUGCAAGUCGAGGGAGAACCUUUCGAUCCGUAAGGACCGAAUGGGGAAACCGGCGAACGGGUGCGUAACACGUGAGGAACCUGCCCCGAAGACCGGGAUAGCCCGAGGAAACUCGGAUUAAUACCGGAUACCCUCCUCGGACCACAUGGUCUGUUGAGGAAAUGGUCCGCCGCUUCGGGAUGGCCUCGCGGCCUAUCAGCUUGUUGGUGAGGUAACGGCUCACCAAGGCAAAGACGGGUAGCUGGUCUGAGAGGACGAUCAGCCACACUGGGACUGAGACACGGCCCAGACUCCUACGGGAGGCAGCAGCAGGGAAUAUUGCGCAAUGGGCGAAAGCCUGAUGCAGCGACACCGCGUGCGGGAUGAAGGCCCUCGGGUUGUAAACCGCUUUCAGGAGGGACGAAAAUGACGGUACCUCCAGAAGAAGGCCCGGCCAACUACGUGCCAGCAGCCGCGGUAAUACGUAGGGGCCAAACGUUGUCCGGAUUUAUUGGGCGUAAAGGGCUCGUAGGCGGUUCAACAAGUCGAUCGUGAAAGCCCGGGGCUCAACCCCGGGACGCCGGUCGAAACUGUUGUGACUAGGGUCCGGUAGAGGUGAGUGGAAUUCUCGGUGUAGCGGUGGAAUGCGCAGAUAUCGAGAGGAACACCAGUU
rnacentral:rRNA from 1 species